UACGAAGGGUGCAAACGUUGCUCGGAAUUAUUGGGCGUAAAGCGCACGUAGGCGGCUUGGCAAGUCGGAUGUGAAAUCCCUCGGCUCAACCAAGGAAGUGCAUCCGAAACUGCUGAGCUUGAGUACGAAAGAGGAUCGCGGAAUUCCCAGUGUAACGGUGAAAUGCGUAGAUAUUGGGAGGAACACCAGUGGCGAAGGCGGCUCUCUGGGACGGUACUGACGCUGAGACGCGAAAGCGUGGGGAGCGAACAGG
rnacentral:rRNA from 1 species